rnacentral:lncRNA from 1 species
CCGACCACUCAAGACUCCAACAGUACAACUGGACAGUAGAACAGUUGAACCAGUAACUGUAACAGUUAUGCAACAGUAGUUGGGAUGGAAGUAAAGCAACUAGCGGGAGUGGCCGUCAAAACGACAGCGUAUAAGACGUAUUACCAUCGUGUCUCUUGACUCUGUCCAGAGCACCGCAAAUCUCGAGACCCCAUGAACCUGAUGAGCCUGACUCAGUUUUCCCAUUAAUUAUCUUCUUUCUUCCUCCUCCGCCUACUACACUCUCUCUCUUUCUACAUAUGUAUGAGUAGAAAUGGUGUCUGGUCUGGUCUCCGGUCGCGUCGGUUGUCUGCCGGCGGCUUGUCGCACGUGUGUCUUCCUCUGGGCUCCACACUAUUAAUCUCCUCUGCCUCCUGGUCCACCCAUCUUGUCUGCUGCAUCCGACGGCUCACCGUCCAUCCACGUCAUCAUUCACAUGAUGACGUGGCAUCCUGAUACGUACUGUCGGCAGUACUUAAAAAAAUCUUUCUUCAUCUUGAAAGCGAAAAAUAAUAAAUAGAAGAAAAAUGGCGAGGAGAAGUUGGGAUUGAUUUGCAGGCAAGGCCACAUGCUGAAAAGUGGCUGUUUUUACGUGUGUUUGCGUUUAAUGUGUCUGUCGCUGUCGUUUAAAUCUUUCCGGCUGCUUUGAUUACGCACGUGUUGUUUCUUACACUCGAAUCGUACGUGGUGUGUGUAUAUAUCUCUGUCAUAUUUUU